rnacentral:misc_RNA from 1 species
UACGAAGGGUGCUAGCGUUGUUCGGAAUCACUGGGCGUAAAGCGCGCGUAGGCGGCUUGCCAAGUCAGGGGUGAAAUCCCGGGGCUCAACCUCGGAAUUGCCUUUGAAACUGGUAGGCUAGAGUAUUGGAGGGGAGUGCGGAAUUUCUAAUGUAGCGGUGAAAUGCGUAGAUAUUAGAAGGAACACCGGUGGCGAAGGCGGCACUCUGGACAAUUACUGACGCUGAGGCGCGAAAGCGUGGGGAGCAAACAGG